CACGUAGGUAAUCUACCUCGAAGUGGUGGAUAACCUUCCGAAAGGAGGGCUAAUACAGCAUGAGACCACGGUUUCGAAAGAGAUUGAGGUCAAAGCGGGCCACUAUACAUAAGCUCGCGCUUCGAGAUGAGCCUGCGGCCCAUCAUGGUAGUUGGUAGGGUAAUGGCCUACCAAGCCGAAGACGGGUAGCUGGUCUGAGAGGAUGAUCAGCCACACUGGAACUGAGACACGGUCCAGACUCCUACGGGAGGCAGCAGUGGGGAAUCUUGCGCAAUGGGCGAAAAGCCUGACGCAGCGACGCCGCGUGAGUGAUGAAGGCCUUCGGGUUGUAAAAGCUCUGUGGAGGGGGACGAAUAAGGGUUGGCUAACAUCCAGCUCGAUGACGGUACCCCUUUAGCAAGCACCGGCUAACUCUGUGCCAGCAGCCGCGGUAAGACAGAGGGUGCAAACGUUGUUCGGAAUUACUGGGCGUAAAGCGCGUGUAGGCCGCUUGGAAAAGUCGGAUGUGAAA
rnacentral:rRNA from 1 species